AAGUUGUAAGGUGGGGGUUUUAUAUGUAUUGAAAGACCAUUAUUGUAUACUUCAAUUGCUAUAUGUCUGUUCAGUGCAAUUUAUGGUUCUGUUGGUCAUUAUACUAAGGAUACACAUGCCACUGUAGAUCUUAUAGAUUCUGUCCUACAUAUGAUUCAUCUUGUGUUAGAUUCCUUGUCAACUUGUCUUGUACAAGAGGCAUCUUUUUGUCCCUAAGAAUAUGUGAG
rnacentral:misc_RNA from 1 species